rnacentral:rRNA from 1 species
GCAGUCGAACGAGAUUGUAGCAAUACAAUCUAGUGGCGGACGGGUGAGUAACGCGUAAGAAUCUACCUUCAAGCGGGGAAUAACUGAUCGAAAGAUUGGCUAAUACCGCAUAAUAACUACGGUUUAAAGGGCUUAACUGCCCACUUGAAGAGGAGCUUGCGUCCUAUCAGCUUGUUGGUGAGGUAAUGGCUCACCAAGGCUAUGACGGGUAUCUGGACUGAGAGGUCGGCCAGACACAGGGGCACUGAGACACGGGCUCCACACCUACGGGUGGCAGCAACCGGGAAUAUUGGGCAAUGGACGAAAGUCUGACCCAGCGACACCGCGUGGAGGAUGAAGGCUUUAGGGUCGUAAACUCCUUUUGAUAGUCCCUUCACAGACUAUAGAAUAAGCUCUUACUAACUACGUGCCAGAAGUCUCGGUAAUACGUAGGGAGCAAGCGUUAUCCGGAUUUAUUGGGCGUAAAGAGUGUGUAGGCGUCUUUUCAAGUUCUUAUUGAAAGACUGAGGCUCAACCUCAGCAUGUGUAAGAAUACUGUUAAGAUAGAGGAUUAUUCGGGGUGCCGGAACAGAUGGUGUAGUAGUGAAAUACGUUGAUAUCAUCUGGAACACCGAAGGCGAAGGCAGGCACCUGGAAUUAUCCUGACGCUGAGACACGAAAGCUAGGGGAGCGAAAAGGAUUAGAGACCCUUGUAGUCCUAGCCGUAAACGAUGGAUACUAGCUAGUGUGAAUUUUUGCACUGGCGUAAGCUAACGCGUUAAGUAUCCCGCCUGGGGAGUACGGUCGCAAGGCUAAAACUCAAAGGAAUUGACGGGGACCCGCACAACCAGUGGAGCGUGUGGUUUAAUUCGAGACAAAGCGAAAAACCUCACCAAGGCUUGACAUAUAUUUGACAACCUUAGAAAUAAGGCCUUCCUUCGGGACAGAUAUACAGGUGCUGCAUGGCUGUCGUCAGCUCGUGCCGUGAGGUGUUCCCUUAAGUGGGGAAACGAGUGCAACCCUUGUCUAAUGUUAAAUAUUCAUUAGAGACUGCCUCUAUUUUUUAGAGGAGGAAGGAAAGGCGGACGUCAAGUCAGCAUGGCCCUUAUGCCUUGGGCUACACACACCCUACAAUGGCGAAAAACAAAGAGUUGCAAGUUCGUGAGGACAAGCUAAUCUCAUAAAUUUCGUCUCAGUUCGGAUUGGAGUCUGAAACUCGACUCCAUGAAGUCGGAAUUGGUAGUAAUCGCGGAUCAGCGGGCCGCGGUGAAUACGUUAUCGGGUCUUGUACACACCGCCCGUCAAGGCAGCAAAGUCGAUAGCUAUCGAACACCGGUGUAAAUCGGUGAGAUAGA